rnacentral:lncRNA from 1 species
GAGAUAGAGAGAAAAUAAGGAUUCAAAAGAGAGAAAAAAGGAGAAAAACUCAUUUUCGUUUUUCUGCAAACAAUCUCACUAAAUCGACGAUCCUCAAUUCAUUAAUCGUCGGAUCGAGCUCAAAUUUGGAGGGCAUGUUUGUAACACAUGUAUCUAACGUUUGACCAUUCAGAAUUCUAAAACAAUGUCUGUGGUGAGAGUUAUCUUCUUUGCACUUAAGCUGCAGAUUUGAGAAAAUUUCCAGCUUUUUUAUUCUUAUUAAGCUAGUUUGCUUUGUG